UACAGAGGGGGCAAGCGUUGUUCGGAAUUACUGGGCGUAAAGGGCUCGUAGGUGGCCAACUAAGUCAGACGUGAAAUCCCUCGGCUUAACCGGGGAACUGCGUCUGAUACUGGAUGGCUUGAGAUUGGGAGAGGGAUGCGGAAUUCCAGGUGUAGCGGUGAAAUGCGUAGAUAUCUGGAGGAACACCGGUGGCGAAGGCGGCAUCCUGGACCAACACUGACACUGAGGAGCGAAAGCCAGGGGAGCAAACGGG
rnacentral:rRNA from 1 species